UUGAGUGCCACCAAUUACGCCAGAGAUGUGAAGAUCCAGGUCUCUAAAGAGGCUUUGGGAGGUAUACCCCUGUGGAUCAUUAUAGUCAGUAUCCUAAUAGGACUGAUGAUUCUGGCACUGGUCAUCUUCGCUCUAUGGAAGGCUGGAUUUUUCAAGAGAAAAUCCAUAGAGGACAUGGAGAACGAGGACAUGAAGGAUUAAUCCUUCCACCACCAUACAGAUGUGCCCCACUGUCUUCAGGUCUGUCUUCAGGUCAGUCAGAGGAGAUACCAUAGGAAAUACCCCAUCAACCAAUUCUCCUGAACACCAUCAGGUCAGAAGAAAAGCCAGUCUAUUUAUGGCUAUUCAACAACCAUUCACCUGAAUGUGAUGUGGCCCAUCUACCAGUCUUAAAACCCUGGUCUGAUUCAGUGGAUACGGAGGCCUGGGGAAACAUUGAACUUGUACAGUACACUCUAUUCAAUGUGGGUACCAAGACCUGGACUUAAAAUACCUAAGCUAGAAGGGAAAUCAGAAGACCAUAAGGAUAAUGGCACGCUGACUCAGACCUGAUCAUAUGCAGCCACACCAGCUUUAUACAAAACGUUCUCAGGUUCACUUACAGCGUCAACAUCCCAAAGACACUAAAAACACCUCAGAUUACAGUAUGGCAUUACACCAAAGUUGUCCAAAUGUCCAAGGCACUCUGCGAUGGAUUAGAAUUCUGUGUUAAAAGUUUUUGAUAUUUUUUACAAAUAUACUGUAAAUCUAUACCAUGUACUGUAUUUAUUUUUGUUUGGUAUAUUUUGAUACGUGUUAUUACCUAUAUUUUAACAUAUUCAUCGUCUUCUAAGCAUAAUGUUUGCUUUUUGGAACACUGAUAUUUUCACAUGAGUGUUUUUCUGGUCUUACAAGAGCAAUCUGUAAAUUCUAUUUAUUUUUUUUGAACAAAAGUGUUCUCUUGAAUAUUGAAGGGGUCUAUGCAAAUGUUCCCUCCCCAAAUAUAUAUUCAGUAUAAAAGAAGAGGAGGAAUAGAUGCAUUUGCUAUUGACUUAAAUACAACGGCUUUAAUCUAGUUUUUGUUUCAUUUUGUUACCACAUGGGGGCAGAGAAUUUACAGAUUGCUCCUUUACAGUAUUAGGAAAAACUUUGAUUGUCCUGUAAAUGUAAUGUAAAGCUUGUACAUAAAGUUAUGUUUGCAAUAAUUCCUAUAAUUGAAGAUCAAGUUAAGUCCAGCAUGUAUCACCAAGGCUCUAUAUAUCAGUAAUAGAGAUAAAAUAAGUAAUUUGCUCCUACAUUUCUCAGGUAUUACUUAUGAUAUAGUAUGAUGAUAUUAUGGUGAUAGUAUGGUGAUAUUAUGGUGAUAGUAUGGUGAUAGUAAGGGGAUAAUUUGAUGAUAGAAUGAUGAUAGUAAGGUGAUAGUAUGGCGAUAGUAUGAAUUAGAUAAAACAAACAAAUGUAGUAUUUUUAAAUAAAAUACUUUAAAAACAAUAUGAAAAUAUGUAAAUAUUGGUCUUAUAUUUUGAUAAAAAUUGAAAUGUUUGAUAAAUGUGUAUUGGAACUCAAUGCAUUUUGCAUCCAUUCGCUAAGAUGUUUUUUUUGGGACUCAUCUUUCUUUCUGUUUUUUGUUUUGGGGCGAGAGUGAUUUCGUGAGGUAGUCUACAGUCACAUAGAGUAAUCCAAAAAGUAUCUCAGCGGAGUGUAACUUGAUUCCUGAUGUUCAAACCUGUCAGUACCACAAAACAAAGAGAUGUUUGUCUCAGAGAAGGUCAAACUCUGCAAACUAGGCCAUUGAAUGUUACACACAGGGGGUGGUCUGAUAUGCAUAUGAACACCAGGUUAUGCCUAAAGCCCUGUAGUCUCUGUUAUGGCCGGAGUGCUAGCGACUGUCAUGAUUGUGAGUAGAAAUGUUUUAUUUAUGCAUCCUUUCUGCUUUCUCUCCGCCUACAUUCCUCUGCAUAUUUACAUAUUUUGCACAGGCAGUCCGGUGUGACCCCUGACUUUUUAUUGUAUAUAAGAGACACUCAUCAGCUCACCCAUUACUGUUGAAAGCACAUGUAAUAAAUGAAUAAAUAUCUGUAAAAUGUGUAAGAUAACCUUAACAUGGUGAUCCUCCAUACUGUCCCCUUCUGGAGAGCUUAUUUGUCACAGCUCAGCAGUGAUAGAGUCAGCUGAUCAAGGCUUUGAAGAUUUGAUUGCUGAUGAAUUAAAUUGGAACCCAGAACCAAAUCUUGUGUGCUGUCCAGCUAUGCAACUUGACAUGUAUUAUAAUGUAUGUUCAUGUGUUAACAGUCUGUCACAGGAUUUUGUUUGUUGUAUCAGGUGUGAUGGCACAUGUGGGACAAAAACCUACUGUACUUUGACGAGAGAGAGAGAGAGAGAGAGAGAGAGAGAGAGGACUGCUUCAGACUGAUGUACUCCAGUCAUACACACUGCUGUGAACUGUUAGUUUAAUACACUGGUUUGUCAUGUGUAUGUACUCUGAUCAGUACAGAUUUGAAAGCAUUGCACAAGCUGUCAAGGAUCUUAUGCCAAUAAAUACAUUUUUAAAAAGUAA